GUGCCAGCCGCCGCGGUAAUACGAGGGGGGCGAGCGUUGUUCGGAAUUAUUGGGCGUAAAGGGUGCGUAGGCGGUUUGGUAAGUCUCUUGUGAAAUCUAUGGGCUCAACUCAUAGUCUGCAAGGGAAACUGCCGGGCUUGAGUGUGGGAGAGGUGAGUGGAAUUUCCGGUGUAGCGGUGAAAUGCGUAGAUAUCGGAAGGAACACCUGUGGCGAAAGCGGCUCACUGGACCACAACUGACGCUGAUGCACGAAAGCUAGGGGAGCAAACAGGAUUAGAUACCCGCGUAGUCC
rnacentral:rRNA from 1 species